CGAGAAGCACCCUUCGGGGUGUGAGUAAAGCGGCGAACGGGUGAGUAACACGUGGGUAAUCUGCCUAGGAGCGGGGGAUAACCUGGGGAAACUCGGGCUAAUACCGCAUACGUCUUCGGGGUUGCGGCCUCGAAGGGAAAGCUGGCCUCUACACGUAAGCUGGCACUCCUAGAGGAGCCCGCGGUCGAUUAGCUCGAUGGUGGGGUAACGGCCUACCAUGGCGACGAUCGAUAGCCGGCCUGAGAGGGUGAUCGGCCACACUGGGACUGAGACACGGCCCAGACUCCUACGGGAGGCAGCAGUGGGGAAUAUCGGACAAUGGGGGAAACCCUGACCCAGCAACGCCGCGUGGAGGAAGAAGGUUUUCGGAUCGUAAACUCCUGUCCGGAGGGACGAAGCAAGUGACGGUACCUCUGGAGGAAGCCCCGGCUAACUCCGUGCCAGCAGCCGCGGUAAUACGGGGGGGGCAAGCGUUGUUCGGAAUUACUGGGCGUAAAGGGCGCGCAGGCGGUUUCGUCAGUCAUGGGUGAAAGCCCCGGGCUCAACCCGGGAAUGGCCUGUGAAACCACGGAACUGGAGUGCUGGAGAGGGAAGCGGAAUUCCCAGUGUAGCGGUGAAAUGCGUAGAUAUUGGGAGGAACAUCGGUGGCGAAGGCGGCUUCCUGGACAGACACUGACGCUGAGGCGCGAAAGCCAGGGGAGCGAACGGGAUUAGAUACCCCGGUAGUCCUGGCUGUAAACGAUGAAUACUUGGUGUAGGGGGUAGGAAAGUCCCUCUGUGCCGCAGAGAACUCGAUAAGUA
rnacentral:rRNA from 1 species